AUAGGGCCAGAAAGUUCUCGUACCGUUUGGUACUUUCGCUUCAAGAUUCACCAUUCCACCUAAAAUGCUAAGACACAUGGGGAAUCACAGUUAGCAAUGUUCUAUGACAUAUUUUCAUAUAAUUUUAUAUUUUCAUAUAUUUUUCCUUUUGAAAUAUAACUUUCUUGAAGAAUGAAAGACCAAUUAUUUGUUCCUUUGAUAAGAGUCCUCACCUUUGUAAGAAGAUUGAUAACGCCUGGUCGGGGAGGCCGACGAGCUCGACCUCCACCCGAAAACGCAGUUGCACCGGCUCGCAGCCGGCUGAGUGACUCCAUGGGUGGAUGAUGAGUCUGAAGCGCGGCGAGCGCACCGGGCGCAGGGCCACCCUGG
rnacentral:lncRNA from 1 species